rnacentral:rRNA from 1 species
CGCAUCUGUGCAUGCAGCAUAUCAAUAAGCGGAGGAAAAGAAACUAACAAGGAUUCCCCUAGUAACGGCGAGUGAAGCGGGAAGAGCUCAAAUUUGAAAUCUUAAAGGGUUUCCCUUUACGAAUUGUAGUUUAAAGAAGUGUUUUCUGUUGAGGUUUUGGUAAAAGUUCUUUGGAAUAGGACAUCAUAGAGGGUGAGAAUCCCGUAUUUGACCUUUACUUUCAACUUUGUGAUACACUUUCAAAGAGUCGGAUUGUUUGGGAAUGCAGUCCAAAAUGGGUGGUAAAUUUCAUCUAAAGCUAAAUAUUGGCGAGAGACCGAUAGCGAACAAGUACCGUGAGGGAAAGAUGAAAAGAACUUUGAAAAGAGAGUUAAACAGUACGUGAAAUUGUCAAAAGGGAAGCGUUUGACACCAGUGUUGUUUUUCUGAAAAUCAAUUAAAGAACUGUUUAUGCUAAGUUGUUUAGACCUUAUCAGCUAACUGUUUAGUUUUGAGCUUUUCUUUAAUGCACUUUUCAGUUAACAAGUCAACAUCAAUUUCUUUUGCUGUAAAAAAGCUUGAGGAAGGUGGCUUGAGAUUCGUCUUAAGUGUUUAUAGCCUCUUGCCUAUGCAGUCGGAGAGAUUGAGGUCUGCAGCGUAGAUCCUUCGGGGCUAAAUGCAUUUGUGCUAAGUUAUAGCAUUUUAUAGACAACUUGUUGACUAUGAUUUGUCUUGUAGCUUACUCGCUUAUGUUAUUUUACCUACGCUUAGGAUGUUGAACGCGCACAGAGUCUC